GAUGAACGCUGGCGGCGUGCCUAAUACAUGCAAGUCGAGCGAACAGACGAGGAGCUUGCUCCUUUGACGUUAGCGGCGGACGGGUGAGUAACACGUGGGUAACCUACCUAUAAGACUGGGAUAACUUCGGGAAACCGGAGCUAAUACCGGAUAAUAUUUCGAACCGCAUGGUUCGAUAGUGAAAGAUGGCUCUGCUAUCACUUAUAGAUGGACCUGCGCCGUAUUAGCUAGUUGGUAAGGUAACGGCUUACCAAGGCAACGAUACGUAGCCAACCUGAGAGGGUGAUCGGCCACACUGGAACUGAGACACGGUCCAGACUCCUACGGGAGGCAGCAGUAGGGAAUCUUCCGCAAUGGGCGAAAGCCUGACGGAGCAACGCCGCGUGAGUGAUGAAGGUCUUCGGAUCGUAAAACUCUGUUAUUAGGGAAGAACAAACGUGUAAGUAACUGUGCACGUCUUGACGGUACCUAAUCAGAAAGCCACGGCUAACUACGUG
rnacentral:rRNA from 1 species